UGAUAAUGGUGUGCCUGCGGCAGGGGAUAUACCGAGGUUGCAAGCGUGAAUUGGAAUUACUGGGCGUAAAGCGCACGUGGGUGGCUGGGUAAGUUGGAGUUGAAAUCCUCGGGCUGAACUUGGGAAUUUCAUUCAAGACUGCCUUGCUAGAGUGUGGAAGAGGGAAGCGGAAUUCCAGGUGUAGCGGUGAAAUGCGUAGAUAUCUGGAGGAACAUCAGUGGCGAAGGCGGCUUCCUGGUCCAACACUGACACUGAGGUGCGAAAGCGUGGGGAGCAAACAGGAUUAGAUACCCCUGUAGUC
rnacentral:rRNA from 1 species